CCCGGGGUGUCAGGUAAGGUUCCUCGAUGCAGGUAAGAUCUCCUCGACAUAGACAAGGCCUCAGCGUCCCCGGAUAAGAGCCCCUCUUCUCAUUGAGGCCUCCUGCCUUCUCCAGGUGAGGGACCCUCUCCCCAGGUGAACUCCCUGUACCUCAAAUGAAGCCCCCCCCCUUUGCCCAGCAGUUCAGAUGAGGUCCUAGGGACCAUCCAAUUCCUAACCCCUCCAUGCUCCCCCUAAACGAAGAACUGACGGCUCAUCCAUGCUAAAGCCCCUUCCUCCGACUUCAAUUGCCAGGCCAGCAGGGGUGGGGCUGAAAGCAGGUGGGUGACUCAUCCUGUGCUCCUCCUAGCCUCAGUUUCCCUAUCGAUGCAACUCCAGGCCUCCUCAGUGAGUCAAAACGGAGAUGGUAGUAGCCCCUGGAGAGGCUGCUGGCUCUGGGGAGAGGAGACAGCAGCCAAGUGUGACAGAGUCCCAGUGGCCCUGGGUGUGCUUGUAUGUGUGUGGCCCAGGUCCUGACAGCCCACUCACUUCCUCCCUGCAGGCACUGGGCUCCCUCUGCUCCCCUUGGGCUGCUCCCCGCGUGGGGCCACUGCCCCCGGCCCCCGCCAUGGUGCGGAUUUCAAAGCCCAAGACGUUUCAGGCCUACCUGGAUGAUUGUCACCGGAGGUAUAGCUGUGCCCACUGCCGCGCUCACCUGGCCAACCACGACGACCUCAUCUCCAAGUCCUUCCAGGGCAGUCAGGGGCGUGCCUAUCUCUUCAACUCUGUGGUGAACGUGGGCUGCGGGCCAGCCGAGGAGCGGGUGCUGCUGACAGGUCUCCAUGCUGUCGCUGACAUCCACUGCGAGAACUGCAAGACCACUUUGGGCUGGAAAUAUGUGAGUCAGUGACCUCUGACCCCAGGCUAGCCUUUGACCUGACCUCACAUCACCUCCUCAUCACAAGCAGUCAUCUGGAACAGGCCUUUGAGAGCAGCCAGAAGUACAAAGAGGGGAAGUACAUCAUUGAACUCAACCACAUGAUCAAAGACAACGGCUGGGACUGACCCCUGCCUCUGCCGCAUGUGGCUCCAGCCCGGCCUGGCCGCCAGGGGGCGCCACUGGCUUCCCUCCACACGAAGGGAGCUCUGGACCUUCAAGGCCUCUGCAGAGGAAGGAUCCAGCUCCUGUACAUAUAUUUUAUUGCAUGCACUGUGACCUUGGGGGGGGAGCUCAGAAGGUGGACGACGCCCCCGCACCUCCCCGCGAUCUGGCUGGCUUGGAUCUCGUUUUUAACCCCUUCCUGCCCCGCCUGCCCUAUAGAUAUGGCCUACGUGCUGCUCUCUUCGCCCCAGUGCACCAUCUGCCCUGUGAACUUCUUCUCCCACUGGGCCCCUCUUACCCCAGGCGCGUCUGCUCCCCUUGUUCUGUAGCGUUUGUACAUAAUAAAACAAUGGAGUGGAGACA